CGAUCUCAAUUGUUGUCAGGAUGUAUAUAUAUAUAUAUAUAUAGAGAGAGAGACAUUUGCCUCUUUCAAUUUCAGUUCGAAAGUGUCGGUCUGUCUGCAAACAAACCGCAAAAUAAUGAGUUCUGUGACGCGGUUCCUUCGUUCCUAGCAACUGGGAGCCACAGCACCAGCAUCGAUUUCAAAGUGGAAUGUUUUUUUUUUCAUCGGGUGUCCUGAAAUGUUCUAUCCCCUCCGGAGGUACCAUGGCAUAGUUCCACUCCAUAGGGUUUCCUGUUGCGUUCAAUCGGGUUACUUGAUCGAGUUUGUUGGCGGUCUCUGAGAACGAGCGUAGAACAACGCUCCAGACAGAAAUUGCAGACAUGAGACCGGGAGCCAGUAGACUGUAACAACAUCUAGUCUUGGAACCCCUUCUUGGCUGUGCGAACAGAAGCAUUUUCCGGUGAACAUUUGCUACGGAAACAUCUUUCCCGUGGUAGGAGCGUCUGAUAGGACAUAACGUGGAUACCACAGAGAACGUGAGACCGGUCACGACGGCUCUCGUACGCGCGGACAAGGUCACGGCGGCUGCCGUAACAAUCAUGCCUCCAAAUGUUAUUAUUGAGACCACAUUAACUUUCCACUGUGACAGUCAUGUUUUUUCAUGUUCUUAUCGGCAUCAUGUUUAUUGUUCAACGAUGCUGUCGUCUGGCAGGUUCUGGUUGUGAAACUGGUUUUCUCAUAUUGUGUCGCCGACGCGGUGUUGAGUGCUGAUGUAUAUUAAAUUGCCUGGGCACCCUGCUUUCGCGGAUUGCCUUAGACACCAAGGACCAAGUACAGCUUUCUUCCCCCGUCUUGAUAUAUCGGCCUGGCUCUCAGAAUACUUACGCGAAUUUCUAAAGCCCUUACCGUCUUCAUCUCAGAAUAGUUACUUGCAUUGCUAAAGGCGUUACCGUUUUCCCAUGCAUCUUGCUAUUCGCCUCGCUGACCCUAGCAACCUACCCAGACAUGACGUUCGUCCUAAACUGUUACACUGGAAUAUCCU
rnacentral:lncRNA from 1 species